GGCUAACUCCGUGCCAGCAGCCGCGGUAAUACGGAGGAUCCAAGCGUUAUCCGGAUUUAUUGGGUUUAAAGGGUGCGUAGGUGGCUUUUUAAGUCAGGGGUGAAAGACGGUAGCUUAACUAUCGCAGUGCCUUUGAUACUGAAGAGCUUGAAUGAACUAGAGGUAGGCGGAAUGUGACAAGUAGCGGUGAAAUGCAUAGAUAUGUCACAGAACACCAAUUGCGAAGGCAGCUUACUAUGGUUUUAUUGACACUGAGGCACGAAAGCGUGGGGAUCAAACAGGAUUAGAUACCCUGGUAGUCCACGCCCUAAACGAUGAAUACUCGAUGUUGGCGAUAUACGGUCAGCGUCUAAGCGAAAGCGUUAAGUAUUCCACCUGGGGAGUACGCCCGCAAGGGUGAAACUCAAAGGAAUUGACGGGGGCCCGCACAAGCGGAGGAGCAUGUGGUUUAAUUCGAUGAUACGCGAGGAACCUUACCCGGGCUUGAAAGUUAGUGAAUAAAGCAGAGACGCUUUAGUCCUUCGGGACACGAAACUAGGUGCUGCA
rnacentral:rRNA from 1 species